AGAGGUCAAGUCCCGACGGUUGGAGCAAAAAACUUCUCUCCGGCUUCCGUUUCCCCGCCUUGGCAGUGCUCCUCCUACUGCCUCACCCAACCUCGCCGUCGGUCAAAUCUUUGCUUUCUCCCCUCCUCCACGAGGCAAGACCACCUCCCGUAGAUCAACCACCGCGCUCCGGUCUCGGGGGGAGGACCGGAGGAGGGCGGAGUUCGCGUUGCUGGCGGGGUCGUCAGGGGGCGGCUGCUCCGGAUGCAGACGGUGGAGAACAUGGGGGUUUCCAUCUUCGACGCACAGGCAGUGCCCCGCUCGCUCGUCGAGCUCCUGCCUAUCCUGCGUGCGGCCAAGGAGGUCGAGCCCGACAACUUGCGCGUCGCCUACCUCUGUCUCUUCUACGCGUACGAGAAGGCGCAUCGGCUCGACCCGACCUCCAGCGGCCCUGGAGUUCGUCACUUCAAGAACGCGCUUCUGGAAAGGCUACAGAGGGACAACGAGUUGACAUUGAUAGCGAGGGAGGAGAAGAGUGAUACGCUAGAGAUGCAGCAGUUCUACCUUCAUUACUAUGAGAAUUUCAUCAAGACGCAUGAGGAUGCAGUCGGCAAGGGUGACCGUGAUCUGCUCACCAAAUCGCACCGGACCGAGGCUGUCUUGUUUGAGGUCCUGAAAGCCGUUAAUGUGUCCCAACGUGUUGAAGUUGAUCAGGAGAUUUUGGAAACGCACCGUAAAAUUGAGGAAAAGAGAGAACUAUAUGCUCCUGACAUUUUGCCGCCACCUCCGCCUCUUUCUCCAUCUAAAAUGUCUUCAUGGGACUAUUUCUUUGGUCCAACUCCGACCCCUCAACCUCGAGAGAAGAUAUCUGACGGUCAAGGGUUGAAUGAUUCUUCAACACCACACGACAUGGGGAUAUCUGACGGUUUCAGAGACAGGAUGGACAUAAAAUGUGCGAUACCUAAUAUACUGGAUCAAAUAAUAGACGACGGAAGCGCGGAGCCAAUAAGUAUACCACUAGCACUAUUACAGGACAUCACCGAGAAUUUUGCUGAUGAGCGAAAAAUUGGUCAAGGUGGAUUUGGAGUCGUUUACAAGGGAUUUCUUCAAAACGGGUAUGUUGCUGUGAAGAAACUCUUGAACAGCCAGACAAUCGAUGAUGGACUAUUUUAUCGUGAGACUAAUUUUCUAAUGAAUGUAAAGCACCAAAAUAUAGUACGGUUUCUAGGAUAUUGUGCUAAUACAGAGAAUAUAGCCAUUAAAGUGGACGGAUCAGGAAAAUGUGGGAAGUAUAUGUAUCCUGAGAUUAGAGAAAGAUUGCUCUGUUUUGAGUAUAUCAGCAAAGGAAGCCUUCACAAUCAUCUUACUGAUGAAUUAAGAGGACUUGAAUGGCAUACACGUUAUCAAAUUAUAAAGGGAAUUUGUGAUGGUCUACAAUAUCUUCACAAGGAAAAGGAUGUUGUUCAUAUGGAUCUUAAACCUCACAAUAUACUGAUGGAUGAUCUCAUGAUACCAAAAAUUACGGACUUUGGUAUAUCAAAACACCUUGAUGGAAUAUCACAAGCUGUUACUGGAGGAUUUCAUGUGUCACUAGGAUAUUGUGCUCCAGAAUACCUACUCCGUGGUCAGGUGUCUUUCAAGUCAGACAUAUUUAGUCUGGGUGUUAUAAUUAUAGAUCUCGUGACUGGACGUAAGGAGGAUCCUGAUACUAAAAAUGUACUAAGAAGAUGGAGGCACAGGUGGAAUAGAUCGGCCACUUAUCCACCAUCGGGAUACCAACAAGUUACUGAAUGCAUAGAAAUUGCAGCACGCUGUGUGUCACAUGACCCGAAAAAACGACCUUAUAUAUCGGAUAUAAUCCGUCAGCUCGAUGAAUUGGAUAGUACAAAUGGGCACGUCAACGGUGCUGAUGAACCUACAUUUAGCCUGAUAAGCCCUUACCCUUGGGAGCUGCUUGACAUAGAUCCGCUCGAGCUGCAUUUCCCUUUUGAGGCAAAUAAGCAGAUACCAUGUUUGCUUCAACUAAGUAACCCGGGGGAUGAUUACAUUGCCUUCUACGUGCACACAUCAAGUGGACAGUACCUCAUAGAGCCAAGCAAAGGAAUUGUACCGCCCCAAUCCAAGAGCAAUGUCAUCAUAACAUUUCAAGCACAGAAGAUGGCACCGCAUCGCAUGCGGAAUAAGGAUGAGUUCAUUAUGCGGUGCACAGUGGUAAACGGGGAUCUCCUGACCGAGAGCAUCACUGUAGACAUGUUCGAUGAAGAGUCGAAAGUGGUUGAUGAUGUGAGUUUGAUGGUUGCAUUUUAACACGGUGCACACGAGUGAAUGAGGAUCUCAUGACCGAGAACAUCAUUGAAGACAUAUUCGCUGAGGAGUCGAAGUGCCCAAUGAUGUGACUUCAAAGGUUGCAUUUUAACAUGGUGUGCAGUUGUGAAUGAGGAUAUCACGACCUCUGAGGACACGUUUGAUGAAAAAGUUGAAAGUGGAUGACGAUGUGAGUUUGAUGGUUGCAUGGUAACGCGGAGCUGAAUACGUGCUCUGAGAUGUGUUAAUGCGCACGUGCAGGAGUUACAGGCUAUCUCGAGGCAAAGCAGCAUCAGAUUUUUGAUCGAUCUCAGCAGAAAGAUGGUCUUGCAAACAAACUUUUUACAGCUCACAUCGUUGCUAUGUCAAGACUCGACAGAACCGAAACUAUGUGUAUACAUACACUCCGAUCAUCGUCAGACAGGGCAGGGCAGGGCAGGGCUUUAUAUUCGUGAUCAGAUGAUGUCCUGGUGAAAUUGAAGUUGCUGCAGGAGAACCCAUCGGCUGACAGGUGCCGGCUGAAGCUGAGCUUCUGCUUGUCCUCGUCGACCACCACCAGCCUGCUCUCCAUCUGGACCCGCCGAUCACCACCGCCGGCACCGCACCCUUGUCCCGGCCCUUCAUCUCCACGAACGCGAAGCACGCCGUGCCGCGGCUCACCCGCGCCAUGGAGUUGUCGCCGAAAGCCGUCCAGUUCUGCCCGCCCUCCAGCAUCACGUCCACCUCCGGCACCGAGUACCCCGUAUGCGACGACAGCAGCUUCGUGGAGUCAUAGCACAGCUCGAACGGCGCCACGCCGGCGAUGUUGUACAUAGCACUACUCGCUCAUGGCAUCCAAGGCCCCUGUCUCUAGAUGAAGCUUCUUCUCCUCGAUGGUGUCCCUUACCCCCUCGAUUUAGUGCACCAUCAAUUCAACCGCCAUUGCCGAAAAUGAUGGAGGAGAUGGAUUCAUAUCAUGUUGCUGACUCACAAGAAAUAUAUUGUCAAAGACCCACUAAGGCGUUGCCACUCCUUCUGCUACACUAUGCUCUGGUCAUGUUAGACAAGGAAGUCGAGGGGUAGGGGAGGGAGGAUCGACUGUCGCCGUUGUGACUCGACGAAGAAGACCGAGUCAGAGGGGAUGGAGGGUGAUCGUUUCGUUGGUCCAUUGGAGCCGCGUUGGUAAUACAAUUCGUUAAUGGUGAGGUUUGGGUGGAAUGAAAGUUGACUCUAUUGACUUCAUGCUUUUGGUCCUUAGGCGUGGGAUCGUUGUAGGCCGCAUAUUUUUUUAUACUGUGUUGGCAAGGUCUUUAA